ACAUCUUUUUAAAAUUUUGAAUUACUUAUUUUUAUAUUUUAUAUGAUAGAAGUUUUAAAUUGCCCCAACAAUUUAGGAUUUCAUGAGUGAUAUGAUUUCAUGUACAAAAAGUUUGGCAAAAAAUUUCCAUUUAAAUGACUUGGAAGAAGUCAAGAGCAGGAGUAUGAUCACUGGUUAUAUGAAAGAAGGAUUAGUUUUGGAUGCAGAAAAGUUAUUCUAUAAAUGGAAAAAAGAAAAACUAAACCAGUUCAAGCAAAUCUAAGUUAAAAUAUAGUUUCGCCAGAAAAAGUAAUAACAAACAAUCAAGUUAGUAAAAACUUUUGUAGAAACAAAGUUUAAAGAAGCUUGUGUUACUUGUGGUGUGUUUGAUCUUAGAAAGGAAUGAAAAGAUCUGGGUUAUCAACUGAUCAACGUAUCUAUUCAAAAUACAAAUGCCCUAUAUGUAAUAAAGUGGUUCGCAGAAUUCAUGACCAUUUAUAUAAAUCCCCACAUUUUCUUAAAAAUAAUCUUCCUUUAUAUUAUAAAAUGUUAAAACAAAAAAAAGAGCAUGUUUCUUCUUUAACAACUACAACUAAAUUAUU